rnacentral:rRNA from 1 species
UAGGUAGGUGGUCUCAUUUGUCAGGGGUGAAAUCCUUGGGCUUAACUCAAGAAGUGCCCCUGAAACGGUGGGACUGGAGUCCUGGAGAGGGUCGUGGAAUUCCCGGUGUAGCGGUGAAAUGCGUAGAGAUCGGGAGGAACACCAGAGGCGAAGGCGGCGACCUGGACAGGAACUGACACUCAACUACGAAAGCGUGGGGAGCAAACA